rfam:Angiostrongylus costaricensis strain Costa Rica genome assembly, scaffold: ACOC_scaffold0000066
GUCCAAGUAGUUUAGUUGUUAGUACUCCACGUCGUGGCCGCGGCGACACAGGUUCGAUUCCUGUCUUGUGCA